AUUGAACGCUGGCGGCAUGCCUUACACAUGCAAGUCGAACGGCAGCACGGGAGCAAUCCUGGUGGCGAGUGGCGAACGGGUGAGUAAAGUAUCGGAACGUGCCCAGUCGUGGGGGAUAACGUAGCGAAAGCUACGCUAAUACCGCAUACGAUCUAUGGAUGAAAGCGGGGGAUCGCAAGACCUCGCGCGAUUGGAGCGGCCGAUAUCAGAUUAGGUAGUUGGUGGGGUAAAGGCCCACCAAGCCGACGAUCUGUAGCUGGUCUGAGAGGACGCACAGCCACACUGGGACUAAGACACGGCACAGAGUCCUACGGGAGGCAGCAGUGGGGAAUGUUGGACAAUGGGCGCAAGCCUGAUCCAGCAAUGCCGCGUGCAGGAAGAAGGCCUUCGGGUUGUAAACUGCUUUUGUACGGAGCGAAAAGGCUCCCUCUAAUACAGGGGGCUCAUGACGGUGCCGUAAGAAUAAGCACCGGCUAACUACGUGCCAGCCGCCGCAGUAACAC
rnacentral:rRNA from 1 species